GGGUGCGUAGCUCAGUGGUAGAGCGCCUGCCUUACAAGCAGGAUGUCGGCGGUUCGAAACCGUCCGCGCCCA
rfam:Streptomyces davawensis strain JCM 4913 complete genome